UACGGAGGGUGCAAGCGUUAUCCGGAUUCACUGGGUUUAAAGGGUGCGUAGGUGGGCAGGUAAGUCAGUGGUGAAAUCUUUGGGCUUAACCCGAAAACUGCCAUUGAUACUAUUUGUCUUGAAUAUUGUGGAGGUCAGCGGAAUAUGUCAUGUAGCGGUGAAAUGCUUAGAUAUGACAUAGAACACCAAUUGCGAAGGCAGCUCACUACGGGAUUAUUGACACUGAGGCACGAAAGCGUGGGGAUCAAACAGG
rnacentral:rRNA from 1 species